UAAGCAGAGUGGGACUGGCGUCAGGGCAGAUGUGGCUUUGCUAGAGAGGCUGGUACUGCCCCCCACAGGAAACGAAUGGAAUCAACCGGAGACAGCCGAGAGAUCUCCGCGGGAGUCACGAGGCCGAGCGGGAGCCGCUACGUACACCGCGCAUGCCCACGACGCAGUCAGGUUCCGGCGAAAGUGACCGGAAGUAACCGCCGGGCCAAGAUGGCUGCAGAGGAGGGGGUCGCGAGUGCUGCUUCCGCCGGCGGUAGCUGGGGCACCGCGGCCAUGGGGCGGGUUCUACCGAUGCUGUUGGUGCCAGUCCCCGCCGAGGCGAUGGGGCAGCUCGGCUCCCGGGCGCAGCUGCGCACACAGCCGGAGGCUCUGGGGAGCCUGACGGCUGCGGGCAGCCUCCAAGUGCUUUCUUUGACGCCUGGCAGCCGGGGCGGGGGUCGCUGCUGCCUGGAGGGCCCCUUCUGGCACUUUAUAUGGGAGGAUUCUCGUAACAGCAGCACACCAACUGAAAAGCCCAAACUGCUCGCUCUUGGAGAAAAUUAUGAACUCCUUAUCUAUGAAUUUAAUUUGAAAGAUGGAAGAUGUGAUGCAACCAUUUUGUAUAGCUGUAGUAGGGAGGCAUUGCAAAAGCUCAUUGACGAUCAAGAUAUCAGUAUUUCCUUAUUGUCUUUGAGAAUCCUGUCAUUUCACAAUAACACAUCAUUAUUGUUCAUCAACAAAUGUGUCAUCCUACAUAUUAUAUUUCCUGAAAGAGAUGCUGCAAUUAGAGUACUCAACUGUUUCACACUUCCCUUGCCUGCACAGGCAGUGGACAUGAUUAUUGACACGCAGCUCUGCAGAGGAAUUCUUUUUGUUUUGAGUAGUUUAGGCUGGAUUUACAUUUUUGAUGUUGUGGAUGGUACAUAUGUAGCUCAUGUGGAUUUAGCACUUCACAAAGAAGACAUGUGUAAUGAGCAGCAACAGGAGCCAGCCAAGAUUUCUUCAUUUACUUCACUGAAAGUUUCUCAAGACCUCGAUGUUGUAGUGAUUGUCAGCUCCUCCAACUCCGCAGUUGCUCUUAACUUAAAUUUGUAUUUCAGGCAACACCCAGGACACCUACUGUGUGAAAGAAUACUAGAAGAUCUUCCUAUUCAAGGACCUAAGGGCAUAGAUGAAGAUGAUCCUGUUAACUCUGCCUACAACAUGAAACUGACCAAGUUUUCCUUCCAAAUUGAUAGGUCUUGGAAAGCCCAGCUAUCAUCAUUGAAUGAAACAAUAAAGAACUCCAAACUGGAGGUUUCCUGUUGUGCUCCAUGGUUCCAGGAUAUUUUGCAUUUGGAGUCACCUGAAUCUGGUAACCACAGUACAAGUGUGCAGAGCUGGGCCUUCAUUCCACAGGACAUAAUGCAUGGGCAAUAUAAUGUUCUACAGAAAGAUCAUGCCAAGACCAGUGAUCCAGGAAGAUCAUGGAAAAUAAUGCACAUCAGUGAACAAGAGGAACCCAUAGAGCUUAAAUGUGUGUCUGUGACAGGAUUCACUGCACUGUUUACUUGGGAAGUGGAAAGGAUGGGCUAUACCAUUACCCUCUGGGAUUUGGAGACCCAGGGCAUGCAGUGUUUUUCCCUUGGCACAAAGUGUAUUCCUGUAGACAGUAGUGGAGACCAGCAACUGUGCUUUGUUUUGACAGAGAAUGGACUCUCUCUGAUUUUGUUUGGUUUGACUCAAGAAGAGUUUUUAAACAGACUCAUGAUCCAUGGAAGUGCCAGCACUGUGGACACUCUUUGUCAUCUCAAUGGCUGGGGAAGGUGCUCAAUUCCCAUACAUGCACUAGAGGCCGGGAUAGAAAAUCGUCAGCUGGACACAGUAAAUUUCUUUUUGAAGAGCAAGGAAAAUCUUUUUAAUCCAUCCUCAAAAUCUUCUGUAUCUGAUCAGUUUGAUCACUUGUCAUCCCAUUUAUAUUUAAGAAAUGUGGAAGAGCUGAUACCAGCAUUGGAUUUACUUUGCUCGGCAAUUAGAGAAAGUUAUUCUGAACCCCAAAGCAAACACUUUUCAGAACAAUUGCUUAAUCUUACACUGUCUUUCCUUAACAACCAAAUAAAGGAGCUUUUCAUUCACACUGAAGAACUAGAUGAACAUCUGCAAAAAGGAGUGAACAUUUUGACUAGCUACAUUAAUGAACUUCGAACCUUCAUGAUAAAGUUUCCUUGGAAGCUAACAGAUGCCAUAGAUGAAUAUGAUGUACAUGAAAAUGUCCCCAAAGUAAAGGAGAGCAAUAUAUGGAAGAAACUCAGCUUUGAGGAAGUUAUUGCCAGUGCCAUUUUAAACAACAAAAUACCAGAGGCACAGACUUUCUUCAGGAUUGAUAGUCAUUCUGCUCAAAAACUUGAGGAGCUUAUUGGCAUAGGCCUAAAUUUGGUCUUUGACAAUUUAAAAAAGAACAAUAUAAAGGAAGCCUCUGAACUUUUGAAGAAUAUGGGGUUUGAUGUAAAAGGCCAAUUGCUCAAGAUCUGCUUCUAUACAACUAAUAAAAAUAUACGUGACUUUUUGGUUGAAAUUUUAAAAGAAAAAAAUUAUUUUUCUGAAAAAGAGAAAAGAACUAUAGACUUCGUGCAUCAAGUUGAGAAGCUUUAUUUGGGACAUUUCCAAGAAAAUAUGCAAAUCCAGUCAUUUCCCAGGUACUGGAUAAAGGAACAAGAUUUUUUCAAGCACAAGUCUGUUUUGGACUCAUUCCUGAAAUAUGAUUGUAAAGAUGAAUUUAACAAACAGGACCAUAGAAUUGUGUUAAAUUGGGCUCUGUGGUGGGAUCAACUAACACAAGAAUCCAUCCUUCUCCCCAGGAUAAGUCCAGAAGAAUACAAAUCAUAUUCCCCUGAAGCCCUCUGGAGAUACCUCACAGCUCGCCAUGAUUGGUUAAACAUUAUCUUAUGGAUUGGAGAAUUUCAAACCCAGCAUAGUUAUGCUUCACUUCAGCAGAACAAAUGGCCCCUUCUGACUGUUGAUGUUAUUAACCAGAAUACUUCCUGUAACAACUACAUGAGGAAUGAAAUUUUAGAUAAGCUGGCCAGGAAUGGGGUUUUUUUGGCAUCUGAACUGGAAGACUUUGAAUGCUUCCUCCUAAGACUGAGCCGUAUUGGAGGUGUAAUACAGGAUACCCUCCCUGUUCAAAACUACAAGACCAAAGAAGGUUGGGAUUUCCAUUCUCAAUUCAUUCUCUAUUGUUUGGAGCACAGUCUGCAGCAUCUUCUUUAUGUCUACCUUGACUGUUACAAACUUAGUCCUGAAAAUUGUCCCUUUUUGGAAAAAAAAGAGUUACAUGAAGCACACCCUUGGUUUGAAUUUUUAGUUCAGUGUCGACAAGUUGCCAGUAAUUUAACAGAUCCCAAACUGAUCUUCCAGGCUAGCCUUGCAAAUGCUCAGAUUUUGAUUCCCACCAAUCAGGCCAGUGUAAGCAGUAUGCUAUUGGAAGGACAUACCCUCCUGGCCCUUGCUACUACAAUGUAUUCUCCUGGGGGUGUCAGUCAGGUUGUUCAGAAUGAAGAAAAUGAAAACUGUUUGAAGAAAGUGGAUCCCCAGCUAUUGAAGAUGGCAUUAACUCCUUACCCCAAGCUAAAAACUGCUCUCUUCCCACAGUGCACUCCUCCUAGUGUCCUGCCAUCUGAUAUUACACUCUACCACCUUAUUCAGUCAUUAUCACCCUUUGAUCCUAGCAGAUUGUUUGGCUGGCAGUCUGCUAACACACUAGCUAUAGGAGAUGCAUGGAGUUAUCUCCCACAUUUCUCUAGCCCUGACCUGGUUAAUAAAUAUGCUAUAGUGGAACGUCUGAAUUUUGCUUAUUAUUUACAUAAUGGACGGCCAUCAUUUGCAUUUGGUACUUUUCUGGUCCAGGAAUUAAUCAAGAGCAAGACUCCCAAGCAGCUGAUCCAGCAAGUAGGCAAUGAAGCCUAUGCUACAGGGCUCUCCUCCUUCCACAUACCUUCAAUAGGAGCUGCAUGUGUUUGUUUCUUAGAAUUGCUUGGCCUUGACAGCCUCAAGCUCAGAGUUGAUAUGAAAGUGGCCAAUAUAAUUUUGAGCUACAAGUGCAGAAAUGAAGAUGCUCAGUACAGCUUUAUCAGAGAGUCUCUAGCCGAAAAACUAUCUAAACUAGCUGAUGGUGAAAAGACAACCACAGAAGAAUUGCUUGUUCUCUUAGAAGAAGGUACUUGGAACAGCAUUCAGCAACAGGAAAUAAAGAGGUUAUCCAGUGAAUCUAGCAGCCAAUGGGCAUUAGUGGUACAGUUCUGCAGGCUACACAAUAUGAAACUAAGCAUAUCUUACCUUAGAGAAUGUGCCAAAGCAAAUGAUUGGCUGCAGUUCAUUAUUCACAGCCAACUCCACAACUACCACCCAGCAGAGGUGAAAUCCCUUAUCCAGUACUUCAGCCCAGUCGUUCAAGACCACUUAAGGCUGGCUUUUGAGAACUUGCCCUCAGUGCCCACCUCCAAAAUGGACAGCGAUCAAGUCUGCAAUAAGUGCCCCCAGGAACUUCAAGGAAGCAAACAAGAGAUGACCGAUUUAUUUGAAAUUCUGCUCCAAUGCUCAGAGGAGCCAGACUCCUGGCACUGGCUUCUGGUUGAAGCAGUGAAACAACAGGCCCCUAUCCUCAGUGUUCUGGCCUCAUGUCUCCAGGGUGCCAGUGCCAUUUCUUGUCUCUGUGUUUGGAUCAUCACUUCUGUGGAGGACAGUGUUGCAACUGAAGCAAUGGGACACAUUCAGGACUCAACAGAGGACCAUACCUGGAACCUUGAGGAUCUUUCAGUCAUCUGGAGAACAUUAUUAACGAGACAAAAGAGCAAAACUCUCAUCAGAGGUUUCCAGCUUUUCUUUAAGGAUUCCCCAUUACUACUGGUGAUGGAGAUGUAUGAACUGUGUAUGUUCUUCAGGAAUUAUAAAGAAGCUGAAGCUAAACUUCUGGAGUUUCAGAAGAGCCUUGAAACGCUUAACACAGCAGCCACAAAGGUCCACCCUGUCAUCCCUGCCAUGUGGCUGGAGGAUCAGGUGUGUUUCCUUUUGAAGCUUAUGCUACAGCAGUGUAAGACCCAGUAUGAGCUGGGGAAGCUUUUACAGCUCUUUGUUGAAAGAGAGCAUCUCUUCUCUGAUGGUCCAGAUGUGAAAAAGCUUUGCGUCCUUUGCCAGAUUUUGAAGGAUACAUCCAUAGCCAUUAAUCAUACAAUUAUUACCAGCUACAGCAUUGAGAAUCUUCAGCAUGAAUGUAGAUCUAUUUUGGAAAGACUGCAGACAGAUGGACAAUUCGCUUUGGCCAGGAGGGUAGCAGAAUUAGCUGAGUUACCUGUGGACAACUUGGUUAUUAAAGAGAUAACACAGGAAAUGCAGACCCUAAAACACAUUGAACAGUGGUCACUAAAACAAGCAAGAAUUGACUUCUGGAAAAAAUGCCAUGAGAAUUUUAAGAAAAAUUCAAUUUCAAGCAAAGCAGCUUCUUCCUUUUUCUCAACCCAGGCCCAUGUGGCAUGUGAGCACCCAACUGGAUGGAGCAGCAUGGAGGAGCGCCAUCUGCUGCUCACCUUGGCAGGGCACUGGCUUGCCCAGGAGGACGUGGUGCCCUUGGACAAGCUGGAGGAGCUGGAGAAGCAGAUCUGGCUGUGCCGCAUCACCCAGCACACUCUUGGAAGAAAUCAGGAGGAAACAGAGCCCAGAUUUUCUCGACAGAUCUCAACUAGUGGUGAACUUUCCUUUGAUAGUUUAGCCAGUGAGUUUUCCUUCUCCAAGUUGGCUGCUCUGAACACAUCAAAAUACUUAGAACUUAACAGCCUUCCAUCCAAAGAGACAUGCGAGAAUAGAUUGGAUUGGAAAGAGCAGGAGUCACUAAACUUUUUGAUUGGGCGCCUACUGGAUGAUGGCUGUGUGCAUGAAGCAAGUAGAGUAUGCCGGUAUUUUCAUUUUUAUAAUCCAGAUGUCGCCUUGGUAUUGCACUGCAGAGCACUGGCCUCAGGGGAAGCUAGUAUGGAGGAUCUGCACCCAGAGAUCCAUGCUCUCCUACAAAGUGCUGAGCUGCUUGAGGAAGAAGCACCCGACAUUCCUCUAAGGAGAGUCCACAGCACUUCAAGUCUGGAUAGUCAGAAGUUUGUGACAGUGCCCUCCAGUGAUGAAGUGGUAACUAACCUGGAAGUGCUGACAAGCAAAUGCCUCCAUGGGAAGAACUACUGUCGACAGGUCCUCUGUCUGUAUGAUCUUGCCAAGGAGUUGGGCUGUUCCUACACAGAUGUUGCUGCUCAGGAUGGUGAAGCCAUGCUCCGGGAAAUCUUGGCCUCUCAGCAGCCUGACCGAUGCAAACGAGCCCAGGCCUUCAUCAGCACACAGGGCCUUAAGCCAGAUACUGUGGCUGAACUCGUGGCAGAAGAGGUGACACGGGAGCUGCUUACUUCAUCACAGGGAACAGGACAUAAGCAGAUGUUCAACCCAACAGAGGAAAGCCAGACAUUUCUUCAGCUGACCACUCUGUGUCAAGACCGCACAUUGGUAGGCAUGAAGUUGUUGGAUAAGAUUUCCUCCGUUCCCCAUGGGGAACUGUCUUGCACCACAGAGCUCCUGAUCCUGGCCCAUCAUUGCUUCACCCUGACGUGCCACAUGGAGGGCAUCAUCCGAGUCCUACAGGCCGCCCAGAUGCUCACAGAUAACCACCUGGCCCCCAGUGAGGAGUAUGGGCUGGUGGUACGGCUCCUCACUGGCAUUGGAAGGUACAACGAGAUGACAUACAUAUUUGAUUUGCUGCAUAAAAAGCACUACUUUGAAGUGCUAAUGAGGAAGAAGUUGGAUCCGAGUGGUACCCUGAAAACAGCCCUGCUGGACUACAUCAAACGCUGCCGUCCUGGAGACAGUGAAAAGCACAAUAUGAUUGCCCUGUGCUUCAGCAUGUGCCGGGAGAUUGGCGAGAACCACGAGGCAGCUGCCCGCAUCCAACUGAAAUUGAUUGAGUCUCAGCCCUGGGAGGACAGCCUCAAGGAUGGGCACCAGCUGAAACAACUGCUGCUGAAGGCCCUGACUCUGAUGUUGGAUGCAGCAGAGAGUUACGCCAAGGACUCCUGUGUGCGACAGGCCCAGCACUGUCAGCGGCUCACCAAGUUGAUAACUCUGCAGAUUCACUUUCUGAACACUGGCCAGAACACAAUGCUCAUCAACUUGGGCCGCCACAAGCUGAUGGACUGUAUUCUGGCCCUACCUCGGUUCUACCAGGCCAGCAGAGAGGCAGACACCUUUGGCCCUUUAACCCCAGGCUGCAGACUGGUACUGGCCCAUGGCCUGCUAGGAACCAGGCCGCACAGCAGGCUUCUAUUGUGGCUGAGGCCUAUGAUUUUGUUCCAGAUUGGGCUGAAAUUUUAUACCAGCAAGUGAUUCUUAAAGGAGACUUUAAUUACUUGGAAGAAUUUAAGCAGCAAAGGUUAUUAAAGUCCAGUAUAUUUGAAGAGAUUUCCAAAAAAUAUAAACAACAUCAGCCUACUGACAUGGUCAUGGAAAACCUGAAGAAAUUACUCACAUAUUGUGAAGAUGUUUACCUGUAUUACAAGCUGGCAUACGAACACAAGUUUUAUGAAAUUGUAAAUGUGCUUCUGAAGGACCCUCAGACAGGUUGCUGUCUAAAGGACAUGCUAGCAGGUUAGAUGAUUUCAUAGGUGUCUGUUUUCUUGUACUGUUAGCAGAUUCUGACAGAUGUGAUGAGAAGAAGAAUGCAUUGGAGAUCUUUGCUAAAGUUGAACAAUCCCGGUACUGUACCAUAUCAGUCCUUUGUGGGUAGUAGGUAGCAAGUAAGAAACUUUUCAGGAGGAAAUUCCUAUUUAAAAUAGAUUGAUUUUAGAUGAUUGUUCAUCCACACCAUUUUAUAUAGAUACUAGUAUUAAGAUCAAAAGCUUCCUCUUCCUCAGGACAGCUUCUACUUUAGAUGAUCCAAUAAUGAUUAAAGAAUACCUGUACCUGCAGAUUCCAGUUUCAAAGAAAUUUAAUUAUUAUUUACACAGUUAAGGAACAGGUGAUACGUUUUCAUUUGUUAGAAACUGAUCUUUCUGUAAUAAAAUAGAUUUUCAAUUCA